CAAAUUUAAUGACCAGUUUGAAUGCCAUCCACCGUGGUGACAGAACUAGAUCUUCAGCGGUUCUGGUGAAUGAUCUGUGACUGAAUGCAAGCGCUGUCUUUUACAAGAGUACUUGAUGUCAUCAUGGGUGGUAACAGACCAUUAACAGUUCUGCGAAAAAUGUGAUGGGAAAUAAGUGAUAGCUGGAUAAUAUGUGAUCAGGAGCCUUAUUUAAGGAAAACUGCACACACACACAAAGUCAGUAGCUUGGCUUUUUCUGAACAGAACACCUGAAAGCAAUACCGAGCUCUCUGGCCUCGGAUUGCACAAACUCCUGACCUGGACUCUGGAUUACCAGCAGCAAGUGGAUUUAAUCAACACCACUAUGUAGUGUGACACAUAGAUUUCUCAUCAUGUUAUUCCAACAUAUUUUCAUCCGUUUCAAGCACAUGGAAGGCGCGUCAUUAAAAUCGAAGGAAGACAUGAAGUGGCAUGGCCCUUUACCCCACAGGUUCCUUUGCACAGAAAGGCAGAGCAGGAGUCUGGUUUCCUUGUCAUGCAUUCAAAAGGUCAUAUUUUCUUUGCAGCGAUGGAGUCAGUCCAUGUGAAGAUUUUGACUUGGAGUCCCACCUGCAUUGAUAAAAUUAAGUAUCUUGACAGGAACAUGCCUAUAAUCACUGGGCUCCCUGCAGGGGUGGGAUGUCGUAUUGAGGUGUACUGGAUAGAGCCACUGAGUGAUACCAGGACAUCUGUAUGAUUACCUGCUGUAAACUGAAGAUGGACUCUUCUGUUCUAUUGUGCUGUGUUACAAUACAGAAAAAAAAUAAUAAACUGAACCAUUUCUAGAGAAUGCUAUGUGUAUAAUGUGAUUUAAAAAAAGAGCUGAUCUGGGAGGUAGACGUAUGGACAUAAAAGUAGCAAAUAAAAUAUUUAUCCCCA